UGGGGAAUUUUGGACAAUGGGGGCAACCCUGAUCCAGCCAUUCCGCGUGAGUGAAGAAGGCCUUCGGGUUGUAAAGCUCUUUUGUCCGGAGCGAAACGGGUAGCCCUAAUACGGCUGCCUACUGACGGUACCGGAAGAAUAAGCACCGGCUAACUACGUGCCAGCAGCCGCGGUAAUACGUAGGGUGCGAGCGUUAAUCGGAAUUACUGGGCGUAAAGCGUGCGCAGGCGGUUUUGUAAGCCAGAUGUGAAAUCCCCGGGCUCAACCUGGGAAUGGCAUUUGGGACUGCAAGGCUGGAGUGUGGCAGAGGGGACUAGAAUUCCUGGUGUAGCAGUGAAAUGCGUAGAUAUCAGGAGGAAUACCGAUGGCGAAGGCAGGUCCCUGGGCUAACACUGACGCUCAUGCACGAAAGCGUGGGGAGCAAACAGG
rnacentral:rRNA from 2 species